rnacentral:rRNA from 1 species
CCCUUAGAUGUCCUGAGCCGCACGCGCGCUACAAUGAUGCAACCAACGAGUGCUGCUCCUUGGCCGAGAGGCCCGGGGAACCUUGCAAACUGCAUCGUGCUGGGGAUAGAUGAUUGCAAUUCUUCAUCUUGAACGAGGAAUGCCUUGUAAGCGUGAGUCAUCAACUCGCGCUGAAUACGUCCCUGCCCUUUGUACACACCGCCCGUCGCUUCUACCGAUUGAAUUAAAUGAUGAAGUUUUCGGAUUUGAACUGAGCAUUUUCAGAGGGAUUUAUUCCUUUGUUAUCAGAUCAACAAAGUCUAUUGAAUCUUUUUAUUUAGAGGAAGAAGAAGUCGUAACA